rnacentral:misc_RNA from 1 species
UCCUGGUUUCCCAGGCAGUCCCACCAGAGUGCUCUACUCACGUAGAUAGCAACUGGCGGCAAGGGUUGCGCUCGUUAAAGGACUUAACCCAACAUCUCACGACACGAGCUGACGACAGCCAUGCAGCACCUGUGCAUACGUCUGAACCGAAGCUCAGAAAAUUGUAUUUCUACAACGGUCGUAUACAUGUCAAGCCUAGGUAAGGUUCCUCGCGUAGUAUCGAAUUAAACCACAUGUUCCACCGCUUGUGCGGACCCCCGUCAAUUCCUUUGAGUUUUAGUCUUGCGACCGUAAUCCCCAGGCGGAUCACUUAACGCGUUAGCUACGACACCAAUUUCGCAAGCGAAACUGACGUCUAGUGAUCAUCGUUUACAGCGUGGACUAC